AUCGUCUUUCCUAACCUGAGAACUGUUCCUGAUGGUGUGAGUGUGAUAGUGAGACAAUGUAAAGGUUGUGGAAAGCCUGUUUUUGAACAGAUCGAGGAACAGACAACACUGUCAUCAAAAAUAACUCUGCAGAUGUCUGAGAGAAAUAUUGCCCAGAAAGAGCACACAUGGUCUCUUCACAUGUGAUGAACGAGCCUCUAUGCAUUUCUGCUCUACAUCUCUCCCCCAUUCUUCACAUCCAUCUAUUUUUGGUCCAAUGCUGUUCGUUAUUGGUGGUACCACCUGCAAAGCCUUUAAUUAGCUCACAUCUGCUUCGCUCUCUCCCAAACUGAUGCACUUGGCGCCCCCACGAUGUAAAAGACCAUCAUGAAGCAUAACCCCCCAAAUCAAAAGGUCAUCAGGACAAAAGGAAGCUAAAACUGCUAAUACUGGAUUCCAUGAAGAUUGUAGAAUGAGAUGUCGUAUUAUGAGCGGGUGCGUUUUUUUUUCUAACACACAGAGAAUGGAGUCUUCAAAGAAAACCCUCGUCAUGUCGAGAGAAACAAAACAACAGGGAUUAAAUAUAGAUUUCUCUGCUCUUUAUCAGCCAAGGCAAUCUCAAAAACAAAAAGCAAUCAAUAAUGCUCAAAAGAAAACGAGAAAUGGGACAAACAAUUUUAAGAGCAUUUCAGUGGGGACUUGUUUCUGUUCUGCUUUCAAGUUUGUUUGUUUUUUCAUUUUUUUGCUUUGUGUUGCAGGACUGCGCCGGAGUUACUCUUGCAGUGUUUGUAACGUAGUGCUGAACUCCAUCGAGCAGUAUCACGCACAUCUCCAGGGCUCCAAACACCAAAACAAUUUAAAACAACAUCAGCAAUGAAGAACUGGAAAUACUGAAGCUGAAGAGGAAAAACAAACACAAACUAAUUGUGACGUCUUGUUUGGCCACAGGAAUUGUUCACCUACAACACCUGAGGAUCCUCAAAUGUCAAGUGUUUUAUAUUUUUUUGGUCACAAUCAAAAGCUCAAAGUUCAAUCUACUUUG
rnacentral:lncRNA from 1 species